CACGUAGGGCGCAAGCGUUGUCCGGAAUUAUUGGGCGUAAAGAGCUCGUAGGCGGUCUGUUGCGUCCGCUGUGAAAACUCGGGGCUUAACCCCGAGCCUGCAGUGGAUGACGGGCAGGCUAGAGUUCGGCAGGGGAGACUGGAAUUCCUGGUGUAGCGGUGAAAUGCGCAGAUAUCAGGAGGAACACCGGUGGCGAAGGCGGGUCUCUGGGCCGAUACUGACACUGAGGAGCGAAAGCGUGGGGAGCGAACAGG
rnacentral:rRNA from 1 species